UACGUAGGGUGCAAGCGUUAAUCGGAAUUACUGGGCGUAAAGCGUGCGCAGGCGGUUUUUUAAGUCCGUUGUGAAAUCCCCGAGCUCAACUUGGGAAUUGCAAUGGAUACUGGCAAGCUGGAGUAUGGUAGAGGAAGGUGGAAUUCCCGGUGUAGCAGUGAAAUGCGUAGAGAUCGGGAGGAACACCAGUGGCGAAGGCGGCCUUCUGGACCAAUACUGACGCUCAUGCACGAAAGCGUGGGGAGCAAACAGG
rnacentral:rRNA from 1 species